UACAGAGGUCUCAAGCGUUGUUCGGAUUCAUUUGGCGUAAAGGGUGCGUAGGCGGCGCGGUAAGUCGGGUGUGAAAUCUCGGGGCUUAACUCCGAAACUGCAUUCGAUACUGCCGUGCUUGAGGACUGGAGAGGAGACUGGAAUUUACGGUGUAGCGGUGAAAUGCGUAGAUAUCGUAAGGAAGACCAGUGGCGAAGGCGGGUCUCUGGACAGUUCCUGACGCUGAGGCACGAAGGUCAGGGGAGCAAACGGG
rnacentral:rRNA from 1 species